UCUGGUAUAGCUCAGUGGUAGAGCAGUCGGCUCUCCUUUCGGCUGGACACAGGUUCGAGCCCUAUUGCCAGAACCU
rnacentral:tRNA from 1 species